GUUUUCUUUGGACCAUUUAAUCCUAACCUAAGUGACCAUGACAUGUUUCCCUAUGUCUAUCAGGUAACCACCACACAUAUUUGUCCCAUGGCAUUGUCUUCUUGAUGCUUCAUUUUAGAUUGACUUGGAUAGGACUGGUCAUCUCAGAUGAUGACUUGGGUAUUCAGUUUCUCUCAGAUGUAAGGGAAGAAAUCCAAGGACAUGAGAUUUGCUUAGCCUUUGUGAAUGUAAUCCCAGAAACCAUACAGAUCUACAUGACUAGGGCUAAGAUAUAUGAUAAACAAAUUAUGACAUCUUCAGCAAAGGUUGUUAUCAUUUAUGGUGAAAUGAACUCUACUCUAGAAGUCAGCUUUAGAAGAUGGAUAUAUUUAGGUGCUCAGAGAAUUUGGAUCACAACCUCACAAUGGGAUGUCAUUUUACAUAAAAAAGGAUUGACCCGUGAUUUCUUCCAUGGUACUAUCACUUUUACACACCACAAAGUUGAGAUUAACAAAUUUGCGGAUUUUAUGCAAACAAUGAGCACUUCCAAAUACCCAGUAGAUAUUUCUCAUACUAUACUGAAGUGGAAUUACUUAAAUUGUUCAAUGUCUAAGAACAUCAGUAAAAUGGAUCAUUUUUCAUUGAACAACACAUUGGAAUGGACAACACUGCACAAAUAUGACAUGGCCCUGAGUCAUGAAGGUUACAAUUUGUAUAAUGCUGUUUAUGCUGUGGCCCAUACUUACCACGAACACUCACUACAAAAAGUAGAGUCUCAGAAAAAGGCAUAUCCCAAAUGACGAUUCACUGAAUGUCAGCAGCUGUCUUCAUUGAUGAAAAGCAGGGUAUUUACUAACCCUGUUGGAGAACUAGUGAACUUGACCCAAAGGGAAAAUCAGUGUGCAUCAUAUGACAUUUUACUCAUUUGGAAUUUUCUGCAAGGCCUUGGAUUAAAAGUGAAAAUAGGAAGCUAUUUUCCUUGUUUUCCACAAAGCCAACAACUUCAUGUAUCUGAAGAUAUAAAAUGGGAUACAGGGGGGACUUCAGUGG
rnacentral:lncRNA from 1 species